AUUCAUACCACCAUACAACCUGCAAAGACAAGGUUUCAGUGGUCACUGGUUUAUGUCCUUCAUGCAGCUAACAUGGGAAAGACUGAACCAUCCUUUGUGAGCACAAUUACACCAUUGUUAACCUCUGGUUAAAGCGGACCAUGACAAGUAAGAAGCUGGGUAGCAGUCAACUUACAUACUUCCAAGCCCUACAGUCAAUCACAUUCAGCAUCUUCACUCAAGAGGGAGCUGGCAAUGCUGCAAACUGACCUGCAUAACCAUCUUGCAGUAGUUUUACCUUUAGCAGUUUCCUUCCUAGAGCAGAAAAGGGUUACUGCAG